rnacentral:rRNA from 1 species
GACGAACGCUGGCGGCGUGCUUAACACAUGCAAGUCGAACGGAAAGGCCCUGCUUUUGUGGGGUGCUCGAGUGGCGAACGGGUGAGUAACACGUGAGUAACCUGCCCUUGACUGUGGGAUAACUUAAGGAAACUGGGGCUAAUACCGGAUAGGAGCUCCUGCUGCAUGGUGGGGGUGGGAAAGUUUCGGCGGUUGGGGAUGGACUCGCGGCUUAUCAGCUUGUUGGUGGGGUAGUGGCUUACCAAGGCUUUGACGGGUAGCCGGCCUGAGAGGGUGGCCGGCCCCGUUGGGAUUGGACUACGGCCCAGCCUCCUACGGGAGGCGACGGUGGGGAAUAUUGUACUAUGGGCUGAGGCCAGGUGCGGCCACGCCGCGUGCGGUGAGACAGCCAUGGGGUAGUGAUCCGCUUUCGCCUGUGACGGGGCGUGAGUGACAGUAAUGGGUGAAGAAGCACCGGCUAACUACGUG